CUUGGCCAUCUCUUGACAUGCGGCACUGGUAGUAGGCCAAGUUAGUUGAAGGACUUGACAGGCUGCACUGGUAGUCAGCCGAGCUAGUUGAUGGACUUGGUCAUCCCUUGACAGGCCGCACUGUGUCAGCCGAGCUGGCCGAGGGACUUGGCUGGUGGUCUGCGUCCCUCAUUUUAGCUGGUCAGACGUCUUGGCUGGCGGGCAGUGUGACUGGUAGUCGGCUAAGUUUUCAUUGAAAUAUGCUUGCAAUUUUAACCUUUUCUUCAAUUCUGCAAAAAAUUGUAAAGGUUCAAAAUUUAGAUUAUAGAUAUUUAGAUAGUAUAUUUCCAGCACUCAUUUGCAUAUCAAAUUGAAAACACUCUUCCAUAUCAAUUAAUUCAAAUUCAUUAAUUCAUCCAAAACAUGGAAAAUACAAGACUAAUUUAAGAUCUAUACUUACAGGAAUCAGUUUUUGAUUGAAAGAUUUAUUGAAUUUUGAAAUGAAAAAAAAAAUUACUUUACCUUAAACAAGUAAUAUUUUGAAGAAUUUCAUGUACUCCAGGUCAGGACAGAUUCAGCUCAUGGAAACAUCAUGUACCAAUAUUCUGCUUUAUAAAAAAAAAAGAAAAUUAAUGUUAAAUUACUCAUUUCAUUGCAUUAAUUAACGUUGCAGCUAGAUCAUGUUAUGAUCAUGCUGAUGCGUAUAAGGCUUCACAAUAUUUUAACAGUUCAGGGAAUCUAUAAACAAUUGUGGGAAUAAAUAUGACAAAGAAUAACAUAUUUGAUUAAUAUACUAAAUGCUGAAAAAUAUUAUGCGUUUCAAAUACUUUCAAUUUGUUUACUUCAGUCUUUGUCAUUCGACAUACCAAUCAAAACAAACAAGAAAUCUAAGAUUCACACGCCUAGAAUUUUGUUCAUUCCCAAUAUUUCUUCUUUUUGGAAUGUUAUUCCAGAGGUACUAAGUAUACUUUACCAAAAUCAAUAAAAUGUUAGCAUAAAUAUCGCCUUACCAACUGGUUUUAUCUCCUUUUUUUUAUCAACACUUUCAACAUCCAAACAUUCAAAUCGUCCAUGGAAAAAUCCGCGCUCUGUUAUUGACCAAUCAUAGAACUCAAAAACGUCACGUGAUCGAAAAAAAUAAAUAAAUAAUUCAUAAUUAAUUUAUUUUAAAUGCAAAUAAACCUAAUUGUGUAAUUUUAAACUUAAAUUAAAAAUAUAAAUACCAGUUGGUGUUAAAUUUUGAAUUUAUCUUAGUAUCAACAAAACGGACAUCGGAGGCCGCCAUAUUUUUUGUUGCCGCCAUUUUGAAUUUAAUAUUUGUUUAUUUGUGAAAAUAACUAUUAUAACUGGGUUAUUUAAUUAUGCAAACAAUAAAAUCUACAUGUACUAGUCAUCUGCUUAAAUCUUAAUAUAACUGGCAGUCUUUAUUCACAACAUCGUAAUAUCUGUUCAACAUGAACAUGCACAUACUCUAUGCUGUUGUUUAUCUUUUUAGCCACCCAUAUUACGACUGAUUUUCUUCAGAUUUCAAACAACCUGUGUAGAAUUGUACCAUUCAGAGAUUGUGUAAUACCCAAGCUGAAAUAUUUACGAUGUGUUGGCCACAAAGGUCACCUAGUACAAACACCUGUCUCACAGAAAACAA